rnacentral:rRNA from 1 species
CCCAGACUCCUACGGGAGGCAGCAGUGGGGAAUAUUGCACAAUGGGGGAAACCCUGAUGCAGCGACGCCGCGUGAGUGAAGAAGUAUUUCGGUAUGUAAAGCUCUAUCAGCAGGGAAGAAAAUGACGGUACCUGAUUAAGAAGCCCCGGCUAACUACGUGCCAGCAGCCGCGGUAAUACGUAGGGGGCAAGCGUUAUCCGGAUUUACUGGGUGUAAAGGGAGCGUAGACGGUGAUGCAAGUCAGAAGUGAAAGCCCGGGGCUCAACUCCGGGACUGCUUUUGAAACUGUGUAACUGGAGUGCAGGAGAGGUAAGCGGAAUUCCUGGUGUAGCGGUGAAAUGCGUAGAUAUCAGGAGGAACACCAGUGGCGAAGGCGGCUUACUGGACUGUAACUGACGUUGAGGCUCGAAAGCGUGGGGAGCAAGCAGGAUUAGAUACCCCUGUAC